CCUACGGGUGGCAGCAGUGGGGAAUAUUGCACAAUGGGGGAAACCCUGAUGCAGCGACGCCGCGUGAGUGAAGAAGUAUUUCGGUAUGUAAAGCUCUAUCAGCAGGGAAGAAAAUGACGGUACCUGAGUAAGAAGCCCCGGCUAACUACGUGCCAGCAGCCGCGGUAAUACGUAGGGGGCAAGCGUUAUCCGGAUUUACUGGGUGUAAAGGGAGCGUAGACGGCAGGGCAAGUCUGGAGUGAAAGCCGGGGGCUCAACUGCGGGACUGCUGUGGAAACUGGCCGGCUAGAGUGCUGGAGAGGUAAGUGGAAGUCCUAGUGUAGCGGUGAAAUGCGUAGAUAGUAGGAGGAACACCAGUGGCGAAGGCGGCUUACUGGACAGUAACUGACGUUGAGGCGCGAAAGCGUGGGGAGCAAACAGGAUUAGAUACCCCUGUAGUC
rnacentral:rRNA from 1 species